AAAACGCGGAUGACACCGUCAACCCAGAGAAACACUGACGGGCACCGAGUAAGUCUCAGUACAGCUCUCCAGUGACGCAACCGAAGGAAACAAGCAAAACCUGCCUCUGGGAUUCGCUCUUCACCAAUAAUUACUCCAGCUUUACAGAGUGACAGAAAAGUGUUCAGAAGAACCAGCUUAUUUUCUCAAGAAAAAGAAAUCAGGACCAACCUGGUUUAUUUUGCCUUGCGCUUUGGAUAAACUAAUCAGAAUCAGGUGACCUGUCAGUUGUGUACAGUUGGACGUCAGACGCUGAAAACGACACACAGAUCCAGCAGUCCCGGUCUCCAGCAGUGCUCGCGCACCUCAUUGCUGUCUGAGUUGUUACAUUCCAAGAGGAAGCACAGACGAGAUCUUCAUACUCAGGCUUUCAGUUUUCUGUUCUGCGCGACCCUCUUGGCCGCCUGUGCCCCCAGAGCCCGCACUGCAGGCCACGUCGCGAGUGCUUGUAUCCAAACCUGGUGGUGGCUGAACAAGAAGAGACCCUUGACCAGGAUGAGUGUACAUUCUGCUGGUGGAGCACCCCACACAGCAACUGGUGAGAUGAUGCAAGAUGGGGAAGGUGCCUGGAGGUUGAGAAGGUGAUGCAGCUGGGGGUCAUGUGUGGGGUCAGGUGUGAGGGUCAGGUAUGAGGGGCGGGUGUCGGAGAGCUUGUGUGGGGGGUGUGAGGCGGCGUGAGGGGUGGGUGUGAGGGGCAGGUGUGAGGGGUGGGUGAGGGGCGGAUGUUAGGGGCGGGUGUGAGGGUCAGGUGUGAGGGGUGGGUGAGGGGUGGGUGAGGGGCGGGUGAGGG
rnacentral:lncRNA from 1 species